CGGGUCAGGAUCUCCACCCCCCCCGAAGGAGCGAGGGAGACGCGUUGCUCUUCUCCUCUGUGGUCGUUGGGCGGGUGAGGAAAAGGGCAGAAAUUGUAGAUCUUUUCGGGAGAGGGUCGCUGUGUCUAAGCUCUUUCGCUCCCACCCCUCGGCCAGCGCCGCCCGGUGACACUUUUCGGCGUCUUCUCCGGAUCUGCCCUUCUUCAGGACCUGCAUAAUCCGCCCUAGGUGUCUGCUAAUGCUGAAGAUUUCCGGCCGUUACCCCCGUGACUCGCCUCAGGGCCCAGGACCAACUUGUUGAUACUUAAAAUCCUCAUAACAAUAUUCUGUCAUGCUGGGAAAAUGAAAAGUGUUUUGCUGUCAGAUGGUUGCUAAGAUACACAAAUAUACUGCUGAUGUCAGAAGUCUUAUGUUUCCCCUGAGUCACUGAAACAAUUUCAAUUGCUUAGGAGGAAGAAGUGGCAGGUAAUUCUUAACAUGGAUUGUGAAGAAAUCCCAGAGUUUUCAACUUCAGAGGAAGAAGCUGCAUACUGGAAAGAGCUGACUUUAAAAUAUAAACAAAGUUUUCAAGAAGCCCAUGAAGAGCUGGCAGAAUUUCAGGAAGGCAGCAGAGAAUUGGAAGCAGAAUUAGAGGCCCAACUGGUACAGGCUGAACAAAGAAACCGAGAUUUACAAGCAGACAACCAAAGAUUAAAACAGGAAGUGGAAACCUUAAAGGAAAAACUUGAACACCAGUAUGCACAAAAUUAUAAGCAAGUGUCUUUAUUGGAAGAUGACUUGAGCCAGACUCGGGCAAUUAAAGAUCAAUUGCAUAAAUAUGUGAGAGAGCUAGAACAAGCCAAUGAUGAUCUUGAGCGUGCUAAAAGGGCCACAAUUGUUUCUUUAGAAGAUUUUGAACAAAGGCUGAAUCAAGCCAUAGAGAGAAAUGCUUUUUUGGAAAGUGAACUGGAUGACAAGGAAUCUCUGCUAGUUUCUGUACAAAGACUGAAAGAUGAAGCCAGAGAUUUAAGGCAAGAACUAGCAGUACGAGAAAGACAACAAGAAGUAACUAGGAAAUCUGCUCCUAGCUCCCCUACCUUGGAUUGUGAAAAGAUGGAUUCAGCAGUCCAAGCUUCACUGUCAUUGCCAGCAACACCUGUUGGGAAAAGCUGUGAAAACAGCUUUCCCUCUCCAAAAGCUAUUCCCAAUGGCUUUGGUACCAGCCCCCUUACUCCAUCUGCCCGAAUAUCAGCUCUCAACAUUGUAGGUGAUCUUCUAAGGAAAGUGGGGGCUUUAGAAUCCAAAUUAGCUGCUUGUAGGAACUUCGCAAAGGACCAGGCGUCACGUAAAUCAUAUGUUGCAGGAAACAUAAAUAGCAGUAUGAUCAACAGCAAUGGCAUGAAGUUCUGUCAUCCAGGACAUACAACAUUUUAUGACAAGGCCCCCUGUAGUGUUCUCCCUGCCCCCAAUUGUCGCUGGAUCCUGAAUCAGCCACGUUUGCUUGUGGACCCGACCCAAUCUGCUGCUGCUGCUGCCUUAUGAAUGGCCUAUAGUUGGGUGGUGGGACUGACUGAGGUCAGAUUCCCUACGUAUCUCAUGGGGCAGUCAACGGGUUUGACCAAGGCCCGCCACCAGGUCUAGGAGCAUCCAGACCAUCAUCUGCACCUGGCAUGCUCCCUCUGAGCGUAUGAAUGGAUUGCAAAGCUAUGAUGGGACUUGGGUUUGGUUCUUGAAGGAAUAAGAAAAAAGCUGCUUGUGAUAGUUUUCUGUUGGCACCCCCUCCUGGAGCUGAGUGGGUGUUGCAGAAUGCAGAAACUGCCCAGAAAACCAAGCACAUAUAGAGCACUCCUUGUUAAUACAGUCUAUUUUCUUCUAUUUCCAUCAUGGACAUUCUUAAAAUGGUCACCACUGAUGUCUCUCUCACAGAUUGCAGGAGUUGCACUUGCCCAAACCACUUCCUUUUUUCCAUCUCCUCUGUUUUGUGUGUUGGCUAGCUAGGGACUGCUUUGAUGCUGGGUAUCCUACAUCUUUCACAUUGUACACAAGACCCCUGGGCUCUCCCCCCACUUUUAUUUUCAGUAUAAAUCAAUUCAUUUUCAAGGGAAGGUUUCGAAACCUUCUGGCCAGUGGAUGGAUUUGGAACGAAUUUUUAACAGGUUUCUAUGAGGGGUCUUUGUACCUAGCAGCACCCUGCAAAAUAUUUGGGUUGUGGUCAUGAAGAAUAUAUGUGGCAUCUCCCUAUGGAGCAUAAUACAUUAUGCAAAUAUGCCAAAGUUGCUCUUUUCUAAAAUGGAGACAUACCCUCAGUUCAGCAAUUCCUUGGCAGUCAGCUUUAUCCUAUUAAGUUGGCUUUCCCUAUUUUUAUUUCAAGAAAACUGUGGAUUGGACUUUAGUUGUUUGGUGACAAUUGCCCAAAAGCAAAGGAAGGAGAAAGGAAUCAAAGCCAAGAAAGACUAGGGGCACAUUGCUGCUCAUAGCUUGAAUUUUGUCAUCCCUUUCCUGUGUCCCCUUUGCUGCGUUAAUUGUUUACAUUUGUUUUAUUGUACAUAGAUUUGUAAACAUAUUUGCCUAAGAUAUUUGUAUAUAACUUGGGCUUUCUAACUUUAUUUAUUAAGACUUCUGAGGCAUGUUUCCCCUAGGACAGUAUGUCAACUUUAUGUGGUGACUGCCAUCCUGUGGUUUCACAAGAGAGAUGGUCCUAAAAUAAAGAUCUUUUAAUGUGGACAUAUUUGCUUUUCA